GGGUCAGCUUAGCAUAGUGGAUACUUCGUUCAAUUUGUCUUGCAUAUACAAAUGGGGUCCCGGGUUCGAGCCCGGGGCUUACAUCCACUCGCGCCGUCUAACCCGCUC
rnacentral:vault_RNA from 1 species